GUCCAGCUGACGAGUCCCAAAUAGGACGAAGCGCGCGUCCUGGAU
rnacentral:hammerhead_ribozyme from 1 species